GUGCUAGGUUCAGCAGCACAUUUACUAAAAUUGAAACAAUUCAGAGAUUAGCAUGGUCCCCAAUAGAGGACACACAAAAACUGUAGGCAGGUUAUAGUGGC
rnacentral:snRNA from 1 species